UGAGCCCAAUCUGGGUUGAUUUCCAAAGUGUGUGUGUGGGAGGGUGUGGGUAACACCCAAACCAUCACACCUGUGGAGGCCCCUUUCAACCCAGACUGUUCUAUGAUUCUGAGUAACAAUGGAUUGCACCUCAGCAGCAGGCACACAGUGGGCCUCAUCUUAGACAACUGAAACAAAGAGCAAGGAGAAGAUCACCUGAAAUGACCUUGCUUAUGCAGUAUCAGAGCCAAAAUGGAACAGCAGGGUGAACUGCCCAGAGAUAGUUGCUGCCUGAACAGGAAUGUUACCAUGCAAAUUUUGGGCUCCCCAAUUCAAGAGAGACAGGGACCUGCUGGAAAGAGUUCAGCAGAGACCCAUGAGGAUGACUGGGGACUUGAGCAUCUACCCUAUGAGAGAGAGACUGAGAGCCCUGGGGCUGUUUAGUCUAGAGAAGAGAAGACUGAGAGGACAUAUGACUGAUGUCUAUCAAUAUCUGAGAGGUGGCUGGGGCCAAUCUCUUUUUGAUGGUCAGCAGCAAUAAGAUGAGGGACAAUGAAUACAAUCUGGAACAUAGAAGGUUUCACCUCAACAUGAGGAGAACCUUCUUCACAGCCAAGGUGACAGAGCACUGAGGCAAGCUGCCCAGAAAGAUUGCAGAGUCUCCUUCUCUGGAGGCUUUAAAAACUUGCCUGGAUGCAUUCCUGUGUGAACUGCCCUGGGGGAUUCUGCUUGGCAAGGGGUUUGGACUGGGGAUCCCUUCCAGCCUCUAAAGUUCUGUGUUUCUGUGAAUAGCAUACAAAGAACCCUUACCAGUGUUGCAUUUUGCAGAGAGGGAAAUAAUGGCAGUGAGGGAAUACAGCCUCAUUUCAUUAACAAU